rnacentral:rRNA from 1 species
GACAGAGGGGGCAAGCGUUGCUCGGAAUUACUGGGCGUAAAGGGCGCGUAGGCGGGAUGGCAAGUCGGUCGUGAAAUCCCUCGGCUCAACCGAGGAACGUCGAUCGAUACUGCUGUUCUUGAGGAUUGCAGAGGAGACUGGAAUUCCCGGUGUAGCGGUGAAAUGUGUAGAGAUCGGGAGGAACACCGGUGGCGAAGGCGGGUCUCUGGGCAAUCCCUGACGCUGAGGCGCGAAAGCGUGGGGAGCAAACGGG